rnacentral:rRNA from 1 species
GACGAACCGUGCAAACGUUGUUCGGAUUCACUGGGCUUAAAGGGCGCGUAGGCGGCUUGCCAAGUCAGGGGUGAAAUACUUCGGCUCAACCGGAGAACAGCUUCUGAUACUGGCGAGCUGGAGGGAGGUAGGGGCAGAUGGAACUUCCGGUGGAGCGGUGAAAUGCGUAGAUAUCGGAAGGAACGCCGGUGGCGAAAGCGAUCUGCUGGACCUCUUCUGACGCUGAGGCGCGAAAGCCAGGGGAGCAAACGGG